rnacentral:rRNA from 1 species
UACGGAGGGGGCAAGCGUUACUCGGAAUUAUUGGGCGUAAAGGGCGCGUAGGCGGUCGUGCGCGUCGGAGGUGAAAUCCCCGGGCUUAACCCGGGAGCUGCCUCCGAUACGGCAUGGCUUGAGUCCGGGAGAGGGGAGCAGAAUUCCCAGUGUAGCGGUGAAAUGCGUAGAUAUCGGAAGGAACACCAGUGGCGAAAGCGGCUUCCUGGUCCGACACCGACGUUCAGGCACGAAAGCGUGGGGAGCAAACAGG